ACACGUACUUUUGAAUAAAAUUUAGUUAAAAAAAAAUAAACAUCAUUAAAUUAGUUAAGUCAAAUUAAUUUGGGAAUUAGAUUAAUUCACUUAUCCGUUUGAAGAAAUUUCUUUAAAUAAUUUGCAUUCCUUAAAACAUAACUUAAACCAGCCCCAUACCACCCCAACCCGACAACCAAACCCCAUUUUUAGCCCAAUUACCCACAAACAUUGUCCAAGUCUCUAACCUAGUCUUGUACUUACACUCUAAUCUUUUUCAACAUUAUCUCUCUUCCCAACAAAUGCUGAACAUGAGCUAUAACCUAAACACCUCUACUACCAACUCUGUUAGUAUCCAUAUCCAUCUCUAAGAUUUCAUAGAUCCACAAUAGUUGACUUUGAUUCACCAAUUGCGCGUUUUCUCCUGAAAAUCUUAUCCUUGUCAGGAGCAAUCAAAAUCAAAUCUGGAUUCUUUGAGAUAUGUCUUUAUCUUACUGAAAUUCUUCUAAUCAAUUCUGACUUCACUCUCAAACAACUAGUUUUUGAGUUCAAGCCAUUUUUUUCAGCUAUAAAUGCAUAGCGUUUGUUGCAAUUUUGGAAAAGAAGAAAAAAAAAGUGGGAAUCCCUCUCCUAUUGCCAUCUGUGAAACUCGUAAAAUCUUAGCCAUAGAUUUUAGAUUCAAAAAUCGUUUCUACAACCUUAAAUUGAGAGCUUGAUAUUCUUAGUUUAUUUUGCUAAAGUUUAUCAUCCGCUUCCUUUAAAAAUCUAUUCGGAGGUAGUUGAUAGAGGAGUUCAAGACUCAAAGCCCUAGUUUGUUGCCCCACAAAAGGUUCUGAGGCUCAGUCUAAGGGUCCCAAUAAGAAAUAGGUAAUUCAGACAAUAGAUUAAAUUGUGCAUUGGUGAGCCUUCUCUAUUCCAGAAGGCCUAUCCUUUCAGAUUAUGUCAUCUAUAACAAUUUUGGUCUACUAGGGGACUUUUCCUAGUUUUUAGAUAUUUGUUAGAAUUUCAUGUAGUAGAGAUUUCGCAGACUUUUCCAGAUAUUGUUAAUGAUUUUUGGAUUUCAUUCCUUAUUGUUAAACUUAAUCCAGAGUAUGACCAUGUUUCUGUAUUACAUCAUAAAUUCCACAUUUUCUUUUACUAGAUGAAUGUUGUGCAUGACUACCAAAUAGAGUAGGAUGUCUGGGCCUUCAUGGUUUGGGAUGUCCGUCAAAGCCAGGCCCUAGUUCGGGUCGUGACUCUUAUACUCUUUUAGAGGUUCUUAAUGAUGUUUUCCUCUUAAGGUGUUCAAGCAUGAAAAGACUUCCAAAGUAUUAUAGUAUUUAAGUUAAAUGGUAAUAUUCACAAAUUAAGUCAAGGCUACUACCCAUUUUUUGCUCCUUCUUAUAUACAAUAUUAGUUGAGGAAUUCCACAUGUGUUUGGAAAGAAAUAUGAAAGGCUAAUGGGAAUCCUUAAAGUUUAAUAAUAUUCUAUUAUGAUAAAGGAAUUUUGGGACUAUUUUAGGGUUUAUUUUAUGUGUUUAUAUUAAAGUAAACUUGGUUGAUCUUAAAAAGGGAUGCAAAUAGUUACCAUUGAUUUAUAAAAAGGCGUAAUGACAUGCCACUUAAAUUAUACAUUGUAUGAGCCUACUGUUCAGCCACACUUUGUGAAAUAUUUUGUACUUAAUAAGAAGCCAUGGAGUUUCUGGGGUUCUCAUAUAAAUAUAUGUGUUGUACAAAUGUAAUUAGAGGAUAAGGGGUUAAACAAACACCCUUGGUUUGCUAAAUUACUGGUUUAGCAUGAGGCUACAAUUUUGUGAUGUUAGGUAGACCAAAUGUGUUGGUUAGUUACUAAUAAUAGGUUCACCAUAUAAUUUAUUAUAGAUAAGUAAUUUGAGAGGCAGAAGGUUAAUUCGGUUUAAUAUUGGAGUUGUACAACAAGGUAUGUAAGGCAUACUCUAUUUCGUAUUCUUUGGCAUGAAAUCCAACACUCGUGUUACAAAGUAAGCUUCUAAAUUUCUCCUACAAAAAAUGAUACAUAGUGCCAGUGCAUGAUCUCCCAUGUGUCUAACGACCUUGUCCCAACUCUCUAAUAUGUUAAAACACUUAAUACAUUCUUAUUAUCAAGUUUACAAAUCUACUUUCACUAACAAGUUUCAAGAGUUCUCCUUUAAGUCAAAUAAUACCCAUAUGUUAUUUUUAGCUCCUAAACAUUUCAUUCAUGUACAAACUGCUCCUUACCUAAUUAUUAUUGCAUUAAGUGUUUAUUCACAUAUCUCUUACUUGUAGAUUAUUACUCCAAAGUACAAUAAUGUUAUGACCACCAAAGUAACAAUUUCAAAGGUUAAAUAAAAAGUAAUGCAAAUAUAAAUUAAAUGGGUGGUAGCUCAGGUGCAUAAGCGUAGCAUGGGCCAAUCCCGAUACCUUUAUAUGGGUGGCAGCUUAGGGGGGUAAGCCUAGCAUGGGUCGAUCCUAAUGUGUGUAUUCACCACUAAUCAACUGGUCAUUUAUAUCAUAUGGCUUAUAAAGAUUAUAAUGUAAGAAGGGUAAAAUAAAUAAAAGAGUGUAAUGUACCUGAUCUUACAAGUAUAGGUAAAGGUGGUAUAGUAGCAUCAUUUGUACACUUGUAUCUAAUUUCAAUUAAGCUCUUGUAUUAUGUAUAAUUACUUUUAGCCUUGCAUAUUUAGUAUAUAUUUUCAUACUGAUAUCCUUUUUGAGGUACUUGUAAUUCAUGUUGUAGGCAUAGAUGCUUUAGCUAAUACAACUCUCUAGUAUCUUUAGAGGCUGUGUAUGCCUCUAUUGGUAUUGGCAAUAAUUAAGAGUAAGGUGGAGGUUUGUCCCGACCUUAACUAAGUUUGUGUAUCUUUAGAGGCUGUGUAUGCCAAUAUAAAGUUAAGCAUAGUAGUGUUUUGUCUUUUAGAUAUUGUGGCCCCAACAACCAAGUCUUGUGUAUAUAGUUUUCUGCUUUCCUAUGUGGUUUAUUCUCAUCGAUACAUUAUAUCUGUAUUUGGUAAAAUCUUUGGCUAUCAUAUUUAUAUAGACGAGACAUACAAGGUUAUAGGUUGGUGAUCUUGGGCCUUUAUGGCUAUGCGUGCCUGUAUGCUUCAAUGGGAGUUGUAGCAUGGCAAAAGUGGUAUCAGAUCAGAUCCUCCUUGGAUUCUACAAAGUUGUGUCUAUGUACACUCUUGCUUAUGGGUGUUUUGUGCACCAUAUCCAUAAAUAGGAUGCAACGGUACAUCAGGGGUUGUCUUUUUUUCUUCAUAUCUUUAGAUAUGCUAUAUAGCCAAAGUUAUAGGUGGAGUCAUUUUUAAUUAUUAAAUCUAUUUUUUUCUUACUAUAGUAAAGAUACAUGUUACGAGAAGAAGUAAGAACAUAUGUAAUAAAGUUGAUGUGCCUGCUGGAGAAGGGACAGGUUACCACCAAGACAAACUAAUCAAAGUGAGGUUAAGCUGAAUUUGUAUCACAAACUUCUUCUACUCCUCCAUCUCCAGAAUAGCUAAUGGGGAAAGCAGCACCCUCAGAAUCACCUAUUAAUGCUACUAAAAGGAAUACAGUGCAAUUGAUGAAUUAUAUAGCUUCCAAAUAAGCUCAAAGAUAGACUAUUCCAACUACAGGUUCUAGUAGUGUGAAUAGGGCAGCUAGUCUACGGACACGAGAUUUCCUUAAAUUAGAUCCUCCCACAUUCUCCAGAUCAAAUCUCAAUGAAGAUCCAUAACACUUUAUUGAUUAAAUCCAAAGAGAUCUGGAUGUUAUGCAUAUAUCUGGUAAAGAGAUAGUUGAGCUAUCAACAUAUAGAUUAAAAGAAGAGGCUAUUUUAUGGUAUGAAGACUAGAAAUGGUCUAUGGGUAUCGACGUACCUUCAAUUACUUGGAAAGAGUUCAAAGAGGUAUUUAUUGAUGAUUACCUUCCAUUUAAGAUUUGAGAGGCCCGUGCAUAUCAGUUCUUAAAUCUUUGCUAAGGAAAUAUAAGCGUGAGGGAAUACAACCGUCUAUUUAACUCUUUGGCUAGGUAUGCUCCUAAUGUUGUAGCUUCUAUGGAUGAUAGAGUUUAUCCACAUAUGGAUAGACUGGAUCCAUAUUUGGUUAGAGAUUAUACUAUUACUACUUUGAAUAAAGACAUGGAUAUAGCAAGGAUACAAGCUUUUGCAAAAAAAUAGAAAAUUAGAGGCAAAGAAGAAGAACACAAGAAUAAAAAAGAAGGUAUUCCAAGAAUACCAUAUCUAUGGGGUAGUUUAUGGCAUCCCAAAGAGAGUUUAGGCAUUGGUUUUCUAAUAGACCACCUAGGCCAUCAUUUUUUUAUUCUGUAGCUAGUGCUUCACCAUGGUUUUAAGGGUCCAACGGCAAUAAGUUUGGGCAAGGAAGUGAGAGCCAAAGUUCACAAAUAAUGGGGUAUCAACAGUAAAGGAGUAUGAUCCAAUCAACAUCUCCUCAAUGUCCAUGUAAAUAAUAUAGAAAUCUUCAUUUGAGUUUGGGAAAAAUUCAUUUUUUGGUGUGGGAUGUCUAGACAUAAUUAGAGAGUGCCUACAAAGGGGCAUGGGUGGUAUGGAAUGACCUACUAGAACAACCGUUGCGUCAUCAUUAUCGGUGCAUAUUUAGGUAGGGGUAUACACCCUAUAGGUCACGGUAAAGGUGUUAAAGGAACAACUAGUUUUAGUGGAGUUCAUAAUCGUACAUAUGCUCUAGCAGAUUCACAAAAUUUAGAGGCUUCUCCUCAUGUGUUUACAGGUACAUUAUCCAAUUUUUCACAUAAUGUAUAUGCAAUAAUUGAUCCUGGUUCUAUAUUAUCAUAUGUCACUUUGUUGGUUACUGGAAAGUUCAAAAGAACACUAAAAGUACUCGUUAAGCCUUUUGUAGUGUUUAUGCUAGUUGGUGAAUCUAUUACAGCUAGGAAAGUAUAUCAAAAUUGUAUAAUAACUGUUUAUGGUCGUGAUACAAUGGAUAAACUUGUUGAGUUAUAAAUGGUCAAUUGUAAUGUUAUAAUGGGUAUGGAAAGGUUGGAUUCUUGUUAUGCCGCAGUAGAUUGCCGAACUAAAAGGGUCUAUUUCCAUUUUCCAAGAGAGACAGUCCGUGAAUGGAGAGGUGGUAUUGAUGUGCCAAAAGUUAAAAUUAUUUCUUAUCAUAAGUCAAAAGGGAUAAUUUCCAAAGGUUACAUAUGUCAUCUAGUAGAGUAAAAUACAUAUAUUUGGAACCACUAAUUCUUCAAGUUAUUCCAGUGGUAAAUGAAUUCCCCGAUGUAUUUCUUGAAGAUCUUUUUAAUUUGCCUCCAAAAUGGGAAGUAGAGUUUGGUAUUAAUGUGAUUCCAAGUACUCAACAAAUAUUUAUUCCUCCGUAUAGAAUAUCCCCAUCAGAAAUGAGAGUUGAAAGAGUAACUAAAGGACUUGCUAGAAAAAAGAUUCAUAAGUCCUAAUAUGUUCCCUUGGGGCGUACCAGUGUUAUUUGUGCAUAAGAAAGAUAGCUCAUUGAGAAUGUGUAUUGACUACCAGCAACUAGAUAAGGUAACUAUUAUGAACAAAUAUCCCCUUCCUAGAAUUGAUGACUUAUUCGAUCAGUUACAAGAGGCUAAGUAUUUCUCAAAGAUUGACUUGAGGUCGGGUUACCACGAAGUUAGGGUCAAAGAGAAAGAUAUACCCAAGAUAUCUUUUUGAACAUAGUAUGCUCAUUAAGAGUUUUGCGUCAUGUCCUUUGGGUUAGCUAAUGCACCAACAUCUUUUAUGGAUUUGAUGAAUAGAGUGUUCAAGCCAUUCUUAGAUAUGUUGGUGGUAGCUUUUAUAGAUGAUAUUCUGGUUUAUUCAAGAUCAUAAGAGGACCAUGCUAAUCACUUAUGACAGGUGUUACAUAUUUUUUGUGAUCAUAAGUUAUAUGCAAAAUUCUCUAAAUGUGAGUUUUGGUUCAAAUCUAUCACAUUCUUAGGUCACAUUGUAUAUGAUGAAGGAAUAAAGGUUGAUACUAAAAAUAUAGAAACCAUGAAGAGCUGGCCAAGGCCUACAUCGCCUACGAAGGUUCGUAGUUUCCUUGGGUUGGAAGGUUAUUAUAAAAGGUUUGUUGAAGGAUUUUGUUCAAUUUCUAAACCUUUAACAAUUCUAACACACAAAGCAUCCAAGUUUCAUUGGAUAACGCAUGUGGAUACAUUUUCCAAGGUCUGAAGAAUAAGUUAACUUCUACACUCGUAUUGGUACUUCCAGAAGGCACGGAAGAUAGGCAGUGUAUUAUGAUGCUUCAGGAAUUAGCUUAGGGUGUGUACUGAUGUAGCAUGGUAAAUUAAUAGCUUAAACCACAAGAUAAUUAUGGCUACAUGAGAAAAAUUAUCCAACACAUGAUCUUAAGCUAGCAGCAGUUGUAUUUGCUUUAAAGAUAUGGUGCCACUACUUGUAUGGGAUUCAUGUUGAUAUAUAUACUAACCUUAAGAGUUUGCAAUAUAUAUUUAACCAAAAGGACCUAAAUUUAAGGCAGUGAUAAUGGCUUAAUCUAUUAAAAAACUAUGAUGUUGAUAUCUUGUAUCAUCCAAGGAAAGCAAAUGUGGUAGCUGAUGCUUUGAGUUGUAAGACAAUGUCAAGAAUUUAUGUGUAGUCAAUGGAAUGGCAAGGAAUAGCUAAGUAUCUACACCAACUAGCUAAUUUAGGGGUUUGCCUUCUGGAAACUCCAAAUGAGGGGGUUAUUGUGCAAAAUGCAGAAGAAUCUUCAUUAGUAGUUGAGAUGAAAAAGAAGUAGUAUGCAGAUCCUAUUCUAUUAAUAACUUACGGAAAAUGUACAAUAAGGUAUGGCAAAGGCAUUUGAGCUUACGCAAGAGGGAGUACUUCGGUUCCAAAAUAGAGUGUAUGUGUCUAAUAUAAAUGGUCUAAGAAAGAGGAUUAUGAUAGAGGCAUAUCAUUCAAGGUAUUCCUCUAUCCGAGGUCAACUAAGGUAUAUCAUGAUUUGAAAUAAAUGUAUUGGUGUGGUGACAUAAAGAAGAACAUUGCAGAAUUUGUAGCCAAGUGUCAAAAUUUUCAAAAAGUUAAAGUUGAGCAUCUAAAGCCUGGGGUUUUAUACAAUGUUUAAAUCAUAAAAUUUAGAAGUGGGACAUGAUCAACAUGGAUUUCGUCAAUAGUUUGCCUCAUACAUCUCGAAAGUUCAAUUCCAUAUGGGUAAUAAUUGAUAGACUUACCAAAUUAGACACUUCCUAUUGAUUAAAACCACUUACACAGUUGAAAAGUAUAUGAAAUUUUAUAUUAAAGAGAUAGUUUGGCUACAUAGAGUCCCAAUCUCUAUUAUAUUUGAUAUGGAAGCUCAAUUUACUACAAAUUCUUAAAAGUCUUUUCAGAUAAGUUUGGGAACAAAAGUGAUUUUAAGUAUAGUUUUCACCCUCAAAUAGAUGGACAAGUUGAACGUACCAUUCAAACACUUGGCGAUAUGAUAAGAGCUUGUGUAUUGGACUUUAAAGUUAGAUGGGAUGAUCAUUUAUCUCUCAUCGAGUUUUCUUACAAUAAUAACUAUAAUUUGAAUAUCAAAAUAGCACAAUAUAAAGAUUUACAUGGAAGAAAGUGCAGAUUACCAAUUGGAUAGUUUGAAGUGGGUGAAACUGCCUUAUUUGGUCCAGAUCUUGUUCGUUAAGCUAUGGAAAAGGUUAAAGUGAUCCAACAGAGGCUAGAAACAGCCUAAAGUUGACACUAAUUAUAUGCUGAUGUUAGAAGAACGGGGCAAGAGUUUGCUAUAGGUGAUUGGAUAUUCUUUAAUGUGUCACCAAUGAAAAGGGUAAUGAGAUUUAGUGAGAAAGGAAAACUAAGUCCACUUCAUAUAUAUCCAUAUAAGAUUAUUCGAAGGUUUGGUCAGGCCACAUAUUAGUUACAGCUACCCCAAGAGCUCUCAACAGUUCAUCCAGUGUUUCUUGUCUUAAUGCUUCGAAAGUGCAUAGGAGAUCCAUAUUAUAUUACUCCUACUGAAGAUAAACAAGUUAUGAGAGACCUGCCUAUGAAGAAGUACCUAUUGAUAUUCUAGAUCGUCAAGUUAAGAAGUUAAGAAAUAAAUAAAUCACUUCUAUAAAAGUACUUUGGAGGAACCAGCAAGUAGAAGAUAUCAUAUUGGAAGCUGAGGAAGUAAUGAAACCCAAAUACCCACAUUUAUUCAACUCCAAAGAGAGAGUUUCAAGAUGUUGAAUUGGAGAAAUAACAUGUAAGUAUAAAUAUAUAAGUAUUAUGUGGUAACAGGAAGAUUAAACUUAGGCUUGAACUUGUUUAGGGUGGAUAAUUAUGUUAACAUUCGAGGACGAAUGUUCCUAUGAGGGGGUAUAACACCCCAUAUUUUGUAUGUACUUGUUCUACUUAUACAUAAUUUGAUAUAGACUUGUGGUAUAGGUAAAGGACUACCCAUAUUAAUGGUGUAAAUAGAUUUGAAGAUAUUGCUCAUACCUUUUAAUCUGACAUGACCAAGUUAACAUUGAUACAACUAUCUUGACUUGGGAUUGUGAGUAGGUAUUUGAAUCUAAGCUUAAAGUGACCAAGUGUAUACAAGUUUUAAGUUAAAUUAAAGGGGUUAAGAACUAAAAAUGGAAUAAAAUAUUAAGGUUGUUGCUUGACUUAAGUAAUCUAGUAGGUGAGUCACCUACUUGAGUUAUAUGAACCAAGUUAAUGGAUCUAAGGUUAUGGUUCAAAUUUGGGCCUAUAUUAAUGCACUUAUAUAAUCCCAAACUAAAUAAAAGAAAAAAUAAAAUGGAGAAAGUACCCAACACUCAAAUCUGCCAAGGCCCAAUUUAAUUGAGCCCAACAAAGAAUCAAGCAAGUAGGUACAUCACGUACUUUGACCUUUUGAGUAGCUUGAACUCCUUAAGUAGGUGCAUCACCUACUUGGACAAAUUUGAGGUCCAAAAUGUUUCUAAAGAGAUAUCCUAAAUAGGGCCUUUAUAAGGACAAGUUGCUGGUCAUUUUCUUCAUUUUUAUGUCACAACAAAGACCAUAUUUCACAAGUUCUCUUUACUUUUUUCUAGAGCAGGAAGAAGCAACCCUAUUUUCACUCUAGGGCUAUUUAGUUGCACCAUAUUUUUCUCAAGCCAAGGUAUAGGUGCUUCAGCUAAUGUACCUCUCUAGUAUGAGUACAAGAUAUCCAGCGGCUAUUGUUAAGCUCCAAGUUGAUUCGGGGCUUUUUGAGUCUAUUAUAUAUGUUUUGCUAUUGAUAGUAGUUAAGAGUAAGGUGGGAGUUUUUCCUAAUCUUAACAAAGUCUAUGUCGAUUUAGAGGCUUUGUAGAUCAAUAUAAAGUUAAGCAUAUUAGUGUCUUGUCUUUUAGAUGUGGUGGCCCUAACGGCCAAGUCUUGUAUUUAUAAAUCCUACGUGGUUUAUUCUCAUUGAUGCAUUAUAUAAAUAUUUGGAAGAACCUUUGGUUAUCAUAUUUACAUGCAUGAGAUGUACUAGGUUAUAGGUUGGUCCUCUCGAGUUAAGGCGUGACACUAAACACCACAACUAGGGUUCUUGGAACCAUGAUGGAUUAAUAAAGUAGGAUUUAUUGUA